UACGAAGGGUGCAAGCGUUAAUCGGAAUUACUGGGCGUAAAGGGUGCGUAGGCGGUUCGUUAAGUCUGUCGUGAAAUCCCCGGGCUCAACCUGGGAAUGGCGAUGGAUACUGGCGAGCUAGAGUGUAUCAGAGGAUGGUGGAAUUCCCGGUGUAGCGGUGAAAUGCGUAGAGAUCGGGAGGAACAUCAGUGGCGAAGGCGGCCAUCUGGGACAACACUGACGCUGAAGCACGAAAGCGUGGGGAGCAAACAGG
rnacentral:rRNA from 1 species